rnacentral:rRNA from 1 species
UUUCUGUAGGAGAACCUGCGGAAGGAUCAUUGUCGACCU